CCACCACUCGUUCUCUCCAUCACACGCACAUCGGCUGUUUCCUGUCCUCUCCCUCCCUCUCUCUCUCUCUCUCUCGCUCUCUCCCUCUCUCUCCCUCGCUCUGGCUCAGUCGCUCUCCUCUCCUCUCUCAGUCUGCCUGCUGUAGCCCUGCUGUGUAGUCCUCUCAGCCUCUAUUGCACCACUAAGGGAGGAGGAGCCACCAACACACACACGCACACACACACACACAGACACACACACACACACACACACACCCUUACACACACUCUCACAUCGCACAUCAUCUCUGUGCUGCACAUUCUCUCACACUCGCUGCAAGCACCAGCCAGCCAGCCAGCCAGGCCCGUUCGGAGCAGGGGAGCCCAGCCGUCUCGUCAGCCAAGAUGGAUGUACUGAUGAAGGGGUUCUCUAUGGCCAAGGAGGGGGUAGUGGCCGCUGCAGAGAAGACCAAAGCCGGCGUGGAAGAGGCCGCAGCGAAAACCAAGGAAGGGGUGAUGUAUGUAGGCAAUAAGACAAAGGAGGGAGUCGUGUCAGGAGUAAACACAGUGGCCAACAGGACCACCGAGCAGGCCAACAUUGUUGGUGACACAGCGGUUGCCGGGGCCAACGAUGUGUCGCAGGCAACCGUGGAGGGAGUUGAGAACGUCGCCGCGUCGACCGGGCUGAUCAACCAGGGAGAAUAUGGGGGAAUGGAGCAGGGAGGUGAUGGAGGAGAGGGGUAUUAGUCGUUGUUGGGACGUCCCCUCCCGUCCUCCCUGAUGGACCCUCGCUGCCCUUGCCUCGCUGUACCAGACUCCAGAUGUUCAACAUAUUUUUUUGUGACUCUAUGGAACCAAAUCAACUGAAAUAGACUCUUCCAGAUGCUCCACCUCAAACCCCAAUCCUCCUUUCCCCCAACCCCGUCACUCCCUGAUGCCCUCUUGUUACCCGCUGCCAGUCCCCUGCCACCUGUAAUGCCCCUCACCCUGCACCUACCCCCUUACACACACACACACAUACACACACACACACACACACACACACACACACACAUUAAACAGAGGCACACCUUUACAUGGAGUACAUACUUGUACAUACUUGCACCCGCCCUGAAAAACACCCACACCCACACACACACACACACACAGAUGCAUGACAACUGUAGUCAUUGUUCAGAGGAAUUUAGUCUAUAGAAGUACCUUGGUGUGUGUAUACUGCAACAAAAAAUGGCGUGGCCUCUGCAGGAUGACAUGCAGUAAGAGAGAAAUAUUCACUGUGUGACUAAGACAGGGUGUGAGGAGGCAUGAGCAACUAUUUAUGUGUGUGUGUGUGUGUGUGUGUGUGUGUGUGCCUGUGUGUGUGCAUGUGAACUUCUGUGUUUGUGUGUGUGUAUGCGUGUGUGUGUGUGUGUGUGCAUGCUGAUGUAUAAACCAAGGACAGUGCUCCAGAGGCUUCUGCAGGAGAGAUGGCCAUUCUGUUUGUGUGUGUGGUAGUUAGUUCGCUCCAGUAGACUGCAUGAACAGACACGUAGAAUGACUUGUCACGUAUCGUAACCGUAGAGUAGCAGCUGUCCUAUUUAGCUUCGUGCGGCUUAGCGUGUGUUUUGUCUCGACAUUUAGAAAACAGGGUCAUGACCGUCAGCCAGGAAGCAAUAUUUCUACGCUCGCUGUCUCAGCUCUCACAGUAGCAACCUGAGCGAGUGCUGAAACCGAUGCAAGGGAAAACAAGGGCAUUUUAUUUUUUCCCCCACGAGUUAUUCAUCGAAUCUUAAAGAUAGAAGCAAUACUGUGCAGCUCCAACGUGAACCAAGAAGGCAGCGUGUGGAUGUGGCCCGGGUUUAGUUUGGGUUUAGAGUUAUUUUAGAAAUGGGAGGAUGAGCGGGAGUGUGAAAAACAAGACUGGUAAUAAUGUGGUCCCUCAUUGUGUUACAUUAUCUAUUGUACUGUAGGCCGAGUUGCUUUUUUAGUCGCCGUGAAAGUGGUUUGCAUGUUAUAGAGAGAAACAAGCAAUAUGGAUGUCAGCCAAUCAGCUACUCAGAUGUCUGUUAGCAAUAACGACAGUCAGCCAGUCUGGGGAUCAGACGGCCAAUCAGCCAGUAGGGAUUUUACACUAUGUUGCAUCUUGGGAUACGUAGUUUUUAAUGGUUGUGUGUAGUUCCCUACUGACUCGUUCCACUCUGAACCUUGACUGUUCUGAAGCCCCGCCCAUCAACUGCCUCAGCCAAUCAGAGGAUCCCUUUGUCCUGUCACUCACUGUGCCCUGUCCCCACCGCUUGUGGUAGCUCCACAGCUCAUCUGUCUGACAUUGUGUGCAUGCGUGUGUGUGUAUGUGUGUGUGUGUGUGUGGGAGUGUGUGUGUUAUUAUAGAACAGGUCCAGCCAGCAAAGUGUAUGUGUUUGUGUUGGGAACAGGUCUGUGUGUUUUUACUUUGAGGCCAAUGGAAACUGAUGACUGCAUGUUGCCUUAUCAAGCAAUCUGACAUUCACACACACACACACACACACACAUACAGUACACACACCCACACUUGCACUGAUCCACACACACAAACAAACAACACACGGUCACAAAUCUCACUUCAUGCACCUUGUUUAAGUUGACAUCAAAGCAGACUCGCUGAUUUUAUAAACAGUACCAGUGGAAAUUAAAACGACUUUGUUGAAAUCCA